GAAUUUCAAUUUUGGUUCUUCAGCUUGUUAAUGGUUUGCUGACAGUAGGAUGAUGAUGCAGAAUGUCUUGAAUAUGGCUUUUGCAACUGGACUGUUGUAUGAUGUUGUGCUUCUACAGAUAAGUACCAUCGUGAUUUGGUUUUGUAAGGUUGUUUGCAUGAUGAACAUGAUUGUUGUUGUUUGCUGCAGGUUAUAUCACAAUUCUUGGUUGGCUCAAGGAAAGGCAAUGAUAUGCAGUAGGUUUUGUGUUGCAUUUGCUAGGUCUGGCAUUGCAGCAAGGCACAACAAGGCAACUGGCUUGGCAACGUGUUGUGUGUACUGCAGGAUUAUGCAGGGUCUGCUACUUGCUAGGUCUGUUGCUGCAGGUACAUGGCGGACUGUGCUCAUUCUGCAUUAAGCCUCGAUGGUGAUUUGGUUUGGUCUGCAGGGAGGAUUUUAUGUUGCAGCUUUCCAUGAGCCUUCUCCAUCAUCAUAAAUUCAAGGCCAAACGCAUGUGGGAAUGUUACAAUGGUCAGGUUAUGGUGCUGCUGCAAGGCUUGGCUCAAGUGUGCUGCAGGAUUGGGCUGGAUUGUUGCAACAGGGCUAGCAUGGAUACUUGGCUAAAGGUUGGUCAUCCAGGUGGUUUAAGCGUGUUAGCAUUGCCAUCGCUUAUGCAGAUAAUACGGAUGAUUCCACUCUAACCUUGCCCAUGUCUCUGACUUAUGGUUUGCCGGUGUGAACGAGAACAAGUGAUAUUUGUAGUAUGCAAGUGAGAUAUCUUCCCAAGUAUGAGUCACUAAGAAAAGCUCCAAAUAA